rnacentral:rRNA from 1 species
UCAAGUUAUUAAGGGUGCAGGGCGAAUGCCUUGGCACUAGGAGCCGAUGAAGGACGUGAUAAGCUGCGAUAAGCUUCGGGGAGUUGCACGUAAACUUUGAUCCGAAGAUUUCCGAAUGAGGAAACUCACUUAGAGUAAUGUCUAAGUAUCGUUAAGUGAAUACAUAGCUUAGCGAGGGGAACCCGGGGAACUGAAACAUCUAAGUACCCGGAGGAAGAGAAAGAAAUUCGAUUCCGUAAGUAGCGGCGAGCGAACGCGGAACAGGCCAAACCAGUAAAGUUUUCUUUACUGGGGUUGCGGACAUAUCAUAACGAAGAGGCUAUUGUAGAUGAAGAGAGUUGGAAAGCUCCGCUAUAAAGUGUAAAAGCCACGUAAUCAAAACAAGAAGACUUCAGAUAUGAUCCAGAGUACCACGGGACACGUGAAACCCUGUGGGAAGCAGGAGGGACCAUCCUCCAAGCCUAAAUACUACCUAGUGACCGAUAGCGUAUAGUACCGUGAGGGAAAGGUGAAAAGAACCCCGGGAGGGGAGUGAAAGAGAACCUGAAACCCUGCACUUACAAGCUGUAGGAGCACAUUAUUUGUGUGACUGCGUACUUUUUGUAGAACGGGCCAACGAGUUACGUUGUGUAGCAAGGUUAAGCACUUAAGGUGUGGAGCCGUAGCGAAAGCGAGUCUUAAAUGGGCGUCCAGUUACCCGACGUAGACCCGAAACCAGGCGACCUAUCCAUGAGCAGGUUGAAGCGAAAGUAAAAUUUCGUGGAGGACCGAACCCACGUACGUUGAAAAGUGCGGGGAUGACUUGUGGAUAGCGGUGAAAUUCCAAUCGAGCCCGGAGAUAGCUGGUUCUCCCCGAAAUAGCUUUAGGGCUAGCCUCAAGCUUAGAGAAACGGAGGUAGAGCACUGAAUGUCCUAGGGGGUAUUGCACUUACCGAAGACUAUCAAACUCCGAAUGCCGUUUUCUUUUACUUGGGAGUCAGACUGUGGGUGAUAAGAUUCAUAGUCAAAAGGGCAACAGCCCAGAUCGUCAGCUAAGGUCCCUAAAUGUACGUUAAGUGGUAAAGGAUGUGGGAUUGCACAGACAACCAGGAUGUUGGCUUAGAAGCAGCCACUCAUUUAAAGAGUGCGUAAUAGCUCACUGGUCGAGUGAUCCUGCGCCGAAAAUUUCCGGGGCUAAAACGUACUACCGAAGCUACGGCAUCAUUUAUGAUGGGUAGGAGAGCUUUCUAUACGGAUUGAAGCAUUACCGUAAGGAGAUGUGGACUGUAUAGAAGUGAGAAUGUUGGCAUGAGUAGCGAGAUGUGGGUGAGAAUCCCACAGGCCGUAAACCCAAGGUUUCCAGGGGAAGGUUCGUCCGCCCUGGGUUAGUCGGGACCUAAGCUGAGGCCGAAAGGCGUAGGCGAUGGACAACAGGUUGAUAUUCCUGUACCACCAAUAACCGUUUGAGAAAUGGGAUGACACAGUAGGAUAAGCUAAGCACACUGUUGGUUAUGUGUGCCCAAGCAUUGAGGCAGUCAAAGUAGGCAAAUCCGCUUUGAUAAUGCUGGGAUGUGAUGGGGAGCGAAAUUUAGUAGCGAAGUAGCUGAUUUCACACUGUCAAGAAAAGUCUCUAUCGAGGUUAAAGGUACCCGUACCGCAAACCGACACAGGUGGGUGAGGAGAGUAUCCUAAGGCCAGCGAGAGAACUGUUGUUAAGGAACUCGGCAAAAUGACCCCGUAACUUAGGGAGAAGGGGUGCCUUCGAAAGAAGGCCGCAGAGAAUAGGCCCAAGCGACUGUUUACCAAAAACAUAGGUUUCUGCUAAGUCGCAAGACGAUGUAUAGGAGCUGACGCCUGCCCGGUGCUGGAAGGUUAAGGGGAUCUGUUAGAGCAAUCGAAGCAGUGAACUUAAGCCCCAGUAAACGGCGGCCGUAACUAUAACGGUCCUAAGGUAGCGAAAUUCCUUGUCGGGUAAGUUCCGACCCGCACGAAAGGCGUAACGAUUUGGGCACUGUCUCAACC